AUCCAUAUGAGGAGUCCCAAAUAGGACGAAAUGGACAUCGUGGAU
rfam:Trichobilharzia regenti genome assembly, scaffold: TRE_scaffold0066865